rnacentral:rRNA from 1 species
GGGGUGUUCGAGUGGCGAACGGGUGAGUAACACGUGAGUAACCUGCCCUUGACUUUGGGAUAACUUCAGGAAACUGGGGCUAAUACCGGAUAGGAGCUCCUGCUGCAUGGUGGGGGUUGGAAAGUUUCGGCGGUUGGGGAUGGACUCGCGGCUUAUCAGCUUGUUGGUGGGGUAGUGGCUUACCAAGGCUUUGACGGGUAGCCGGCCUGAGAGGGUGACCGGCCACAUUGGGACUGAGAUACGGCCCAG